rnacentral:rRNA from 1 species
UUCCGGUUGAUCCUGCCGGACCUGACUGCUAUCGGAUCGAUACUAAGCCAUGCGAGUCAUGCGCUUUGUAGCAAUACAAGAACCCGGCAGACGGCUCAGUAACGCGUAGUCAAUCUACCCUAUGGACGGGGAUAACCUCGGGAAACUGAGAAUAAUACCCGACAGAACAUUAUGCCUGGAAUGGUUUAUGUUUUAAAUGAUUUUGGGAGUUAUCGCCGUAGGAUGGGACUGCGGCCUAUCAGUUUGUUGGUGAGGUAAUGGCCCACCAAGACUAUUACAGGUACGGGCUCUGAGAGGAGUGGCCCGGAGAUGGGUACUGAGACACGGACCCAGGCCCUAUGGGGCGCAGCAGGCGAGAAAACUUUGCAAUGUGCGAAAGCACGACAAGGUUAAUCCGAGUGGUUUCUGCUAAGGAAACCUUUUGUUAGUCCUAGAAACACUGAUGAAUAACGGGUGGGCAAGUUUGGUGUCAGCCGCCCCUGUAAAACCAGCACCUCAAGUGGUCAGGAUGAUUAUUGGGCCUAAAGCAUCCGUAGCUUUCUUUGUAAGUUCUCGGUUAAAUCCAUACGCUUAACGUGUGGGCUGCCGGUAAUACUGCAAAGCUAGGGAGUGGGAGGGGUAGACGGUACUCGGUAGGAAGGGGUAAAAUCCUUUGAUCUAUUGAUGACCACCUGUGGCGAAGGCGGUUUACCAGGAACACUUCCGACGGUGAGGGAUGAAAGCUGGGGGAGCAAACCGGAUUAGAUACCCGGGUAGUCCCAGCUGUAAACGAUGCGCGUUAGGUGUAUCGGUGAGCCCCGAGUCACCGAGUGCCGAAGGGAAACCGUGAAACGUGCCGCCUGGGAAGUACGGUCGCAAGGCUGAAACUUAAAGGAAUUGGCGGGAAGGGCGAAUUCG